AAUGUAGCCUCCAAACUGCCUGUCCUCGUGAAUUAGCCCUUCGAUAGACUGGAGAUCUGUGCAGGAUUUUUUUGAUCCUGCCUAGUGGAUUUUGGAAAAGGGUAGAGGAAGUAUAAGAGCAUUAAUAUAUCAGAUGUCUUUGGAGCACGGUUGAUUAUUGAUGCGGUUAUCACAUGUAGAUGCAGAUUGCAGUGGUCAGUGAUGAGCUUCACUAAAAGAUGUUCCAAUUUUAAUUUGACUUUUUAGUAACCAACACUCUGUUAGGGUUUUAGCUUUGUCUCCUGGGUUUCCACAUUUCGUCCUGUGUUUUCCUGUGUUUCUGUUGUGUGUGUGUGUGUGUGUGUGAACAGAGGUGGAUGAAGCUGCUCUAUAUUCUUCCCACCUAUUCACCUGCACAGCUGUGACUCAUGGUCUGCGGUGACAUCCACCCUCAACCAGCUAUACUUAAGGACCAGCUCAUUCACUUCAUCUCCAUCAGCCCAUUACAGUCUCCUUAGUGGUUCGCUGCAUCCGUUUCAGUUGCCCUGCUCAACUGUGCUUCUUCCCCGUGCCUCCUCAAGAUCCUUUUUUGGAUCCAUCCCUGGACCUCCUGCUCUCCCUGGAAAUCACCUGUCUCUGGAUUCCUGGUCUGUUCCUCAAUAACACUGCACUCAAAGGCCUCUGAUGCCUCCCUUCCCAGGUUGAUGACAGAGACUCUUGAACAGCUAAGACUGAUUCAUUUUGAGUUUUAGAAUAAACUGACUUGAGUUCA